rnacentral:rRNA from 1 species
UACGUAGGGUGCAAGCGUUGUCCGGAAUUAUUGGGCGUAAAGAGCUCGUAGGCGGUUUGUCGCGUCUGCUGUGAAAACUCGGGGCUCAACUCCGAGCUUGCAGUGGGUACGGGCAGACUAGAGUGCGGUAGGGGAGACUGGAAUUCCUGGUGUAGCGGUGGAAUGCGCAGAUAUCAGGAGGAACACCGGUGGCGAAGGCGGUUCUCUGGGCAUUACCUGACGCUGAGGAGCGAAAGUGUGGGGAGCGAACAGG